UACGGAGGUGGCAAGCGUUGCUCGGAAUCACUGGGCGUAAAGGGCGCGUAGGCGGGGAGGUAAGUCGGGUGUGAAAUCUCAGAGCUCAACUCUGAAACUGCACUCGAUACUGCUUUGCUCGAGGACUGGAGAGGAGAUUGGAAUUCACGGUGUAGCAGUGAAAUGCGUAGAUAUCGUGAGGAAGACCAGUGGCGAAGGCGGAUCUCUGGACAGUUCCUGACGCUGAGGCGCGAAGGCCAGGGGAGCAAACGGG
rnacentral:rRNA from 1 species